CGCUGGCGGCAUGCCUAACACAUGCAAGUCGAACGGUAACAGGUCUUCGGAUGCUGACGAGUGGCGCACGGGUGAGUAACGCGUGGAUAUCUGCCUAUGAGUGGGGGACAACUUUCGGAAACGAAAGCUAAUACCGCAUAAUCUCUACGGAGCAAAGCAGGGGACCUUUCGGGGCCUUGUGCUUAUAGAUGAGUCCGCGUCAGAUUAGCUAGUUGGUGGGGUAAGAGCCUACCAAGGCGAUGAUCUGUAGCUGGUUUGAGAGGAUGAUCAGUCACACUGGAACUGAGACACGGUCCAGACUCCUACGGGAGGCAGCAGUGGGGAAUUUUGCACAAUGGGGGAAACCCUGAUGCAGCGAUGCCGCGUGUGGGAAGAAGGCCUUUGGGUUGUAAACCACUUUCAAUUGGGAAGAAGGGAUGAGGAUUAAUAAUCCUCUGACUUGACGGUACCUUUAGAAGAAGCACCGGCUAAUUUCGUGCCAGCAGCCGCGGUAAUACGAAAGGUGCAAGCGUUGUUCGGAUUUACUGGGCGUAAAGAGAUCGUAGGUGGUUUGUUAAGUUGGAUGUGAAAUCCCGGGGCUCAACCUCGGAACUGCAUCCAAAACUGGCAGACUUGAGUUCGGGAGGGGUAAGCGGAAUUCCGUGUGUAGCAGUGAAAUGCGUAGAUAUACGGAGGAACACCUGAGGCGAAAGCGGCUUACUGGACCGAUACUGACACUGAGGAUCGAAAGCGUGGGUAGCAAACAGGAUUAGAUACCCUGGUAGUCCACGCCCUAAACGAU
rnacentral:rRNA from 1 species